rnacentral:rRNA from 1 species
CGUGUCUCUAGUGUCAGCCGCCGCGGUAAUACGGAAGGUGCAAGCGUUGUUCGGAAUGACUGGGCGUAAAGCGCACGUAGGCGGCUUCGUAAGUCGGAUGUGAAAGCCCCGGGCUCAACCUGGGAACUGCAUUCGAAACUACCUAGCUUGAAUGCUUGAGAGGUUGGUGGAAUUCCAGGUGUAGGAGUGAAAUCCGUAGAUAUCUGGAGGAACAUCGGAGGCGAAGGCGGCCAACUGGCGAUGCAUUGACGCUAAGGUGCGAAAGCGUGGGGAGCAAACAGGAUUAGAUACCCUGGUAGUCCACGCCGUAAACUAUGGAUACUAGGGUGUUCGGGAAGUUAACCUCCUGAGUACUAAAGCUAACGCAUUAAGUAU